GAUGAAGAACGCAGCGAAUUGCGAUAAGUAAUGUGAAUUGCAGAUACUCGUGAAUCAUUGAAUUUUUGAACGCACAUUGCGCCCUUGAGCAUUCUCAGGGGCAUGCCUGUUUGAGCGUCAUUUCCUUCUCAAAAGAUAAUUUAUUAUUUUUUGGUUGUGGGCGAUACUCAGGGUUAGCUUGAAAUUGGAGACUGUUUCAGUCUUUUUUAAUUCAACACUUAGCUUCUUUGGAGACGCUGUUCUCGCUGUGAUGUAUUUAUGGAUUUAUUCGUUUUACUUUACAAGGGAAAUGGUAACGUACCUUAGGCAAAGGGUUGCUUUUAAUAUUCAUCAAGUUUGACCUCAAAUCAGGUAGGAUUACCCGCUGAACUUAAGCAUAUCAAUAAGCGGAGGA
rnacentral:misc_RNA from 1 species